UAUGUGAUCGUCUCUCGCAUAUCAAUAAGCGGAGGAAAAGAAACUAACAAGGAUUCCCCUAGUAACGGCGAGUGAAGCGGGAAGAGCUCAAAUUUGAAAUCUUAAAGGGUUUCCCUUUACGAAUUGUAGUUUAAAGAAGUGUUUUCUGUUGAGGUUUUGGUAAAAGUUCUUUGGAAUAGGACAUCAUAGAGGGUGAGAAUCCCGUAUUUGACCUUUACUUUCAACUUUGUGAUACACUUUCAAAGAGUCGGAUUGUUUGGGAAUGCAGUCCAAAAUGGGUGGUAAAUUUCAUCUAAAGCUAAAUAUUGGCGAGAGACCGAUAGCGAACAAGUACCGUGAGGGAAAGACGAAAAGAACUUUGAAAAGAGAGUUAAACAGUACGUGAAAUUGUCAAAAGGGAAGCGUUUGACACCAGUGUUGUUUUUCUGAAAAUCAAUUAAAGAACUGUUUAUGCUAAGCUGUUUAGACUUUAUCAGCUAUACUGUUUAGUUUUGAGCUUUUCUUUAAUGCACUUUUCAGUUAACAAGUCAACAUCAAUUUCUUUUGCUGUAAAAAAGCUUGAGGAAGGUGGCUUGAGAUUCGUCUUAAGUGUUUAUAGCCUCUUGCCUAUGCAGUCGGAGAGAUUGAGGUCUGCAGCGUAGAUCCUUCGGGGCUAAAUGCAUUUGUGCUAAGUUAUAGCAUUUUAUAGACAACUUGUUGACUAUGAUUUGUCUUGUAGCUUACUCGCUUAUGUUAUUUUACCUACGCUUAGGAUGUUGAGUAGCGACAUACGCAC
rnacentral:rRNA from 1 species